UGACAUGCUCCUCAUCAAUUCUUGGACCUGUUAUUGCAAUUUUCGCUGCUCUAUCAACCAUUUCAUUUCCAUUAAUGCCAGAAUGUCCAGGUACCCAAACAAAAACAGGUCUGACAUUAUGCUCACUCAGGUCCACCAAACAACCUUGGCAUAAACGAGCCAGAGGAUCUCUCGUGUAUAUAUCUUUUACAGCAUUUAUGGCAUUUAAGGAGUCGCUAACUAUCAAAUAUGUUUUAUUUGUAGGUUCUACGGGAAUGUGUACCAGAGCCUUCCAUAAUGCAAACUGUUCCGCAGUAUACACCGAGGUUAUAGGGUUUAGGGCCCAGGAGUGGACCACACCAUCAACUACCAUGGCGGAUCCCGCCCCUUGUUGGUUUUUCGAGCCAUCAGUAAAGAUAACCGUUUUAUUUGUGUAGUUGUUAGCGAUCUCCUCAAAUAGACGUAUCAACCACGGGUAGCAAUUGUACUGGUUUUUCUGCACUAGGUGAGGUAUUGUUUCGUGUAGUUCCCCCAGGAUCUCUUUAAACCGUAUCCCGAGCGGUCGUGGGAUAGUUGGCCUGGCGUCAAAAUCAUUUCCGUCUGGAAAUAGGAAAACAUUGUUCGGGUGAGUGGGAUCUGAUUUUAUUUUAACCAUAUAAUUGAUCAUCAGCUGUUGUCUUCGCGUAUCCAAUGGAGGCAAGUUCGAUUCACAAUAAAGACUGUGUAUAGGAGUGGUAGGAAACGCGCCUAAACAAUACUUUAUUCCAGUAUUAUGCACCCUAUCUAAUAGUAAUAGCGACGAUUUACGGGCUGAUGCAUAUACAAUCGCUCCAUAGUCGAUUUGCGACAUAACUAAGGCCCGGUAUACGUUUAUUAGCAUUUGCACCUCAGCACCCCAUUUGGUGUUCAAUAUGCGCGUUCCACGUUAGUUUGCUAUCAAACGUCAAUCCCAGAAAUUUUGUCGCUGUCACACACGCAACUGGUCUAUUUCCGAUAUAGAGUGACGGAUCAUAAUGUGGUCUGCGCAAUUUACAAAAAUGAACGCAUUUAGUUUUUUCCCUGGAAAAUUGUUUAACGUUUAUCUGGCCUACAGUGGCCCCGGAGCAAUAUAUCGCCAAGUCAUCAACAUAUAGAGCCCGAGAAACACCAGGCUCCACUCCGUCCGCAAUCUCGUUAAUUGCAAUCAAAAACAGUGUACAGCUCAGCGUGGAGCCUUGCGGUACACCGUUUUCCAGGCGUUGAACUUUUGACAAAGUGUUUCCUAUCCGCACCCGGAAAUAUCUAUCGGUCAUAAACGAUUUAAUAA